rnacentral:rRNA from 1 species
UGGGGAAUAUUGCACAAUGGGCGAAAGCCUGAUGCAGCGACGCCGCGUGAGGGAUGACGGCCUUCGGGUUGUAAACCUCUUUCAGUAGGGACGAAGCGCAAGUGACGGUACCUGCAGAAGAAGCACCGGCUAACUACGUGCCAGCAGCCGCGGUAAUACGUAGGGUGCGAGCGUUGUCCGGAAUUACUGGGCGUAAAGAGCUCGUAGGCGGUUUGUCACGUCGUCUGUGAAAUCCUAGGGCUUAACCCUGGACGUGCAGGCGAUACGGGCUGACUUGAGUACUACAGGGGAGACUGGAAUUUCUGGUGUAGCGGUGGAAUGCACAGUUAUCAGGAAGAACACCGAUGGCGAAGGCAGGUCUCUGGGUAGUAACUGACGCUGAGGAGCGAAAGCAUGGGUAGCGAACAGG